GAAUAUUGGACAAUGGGCGAAAGCCUGAUCCAGCCAUGCCGCGUGCAGGAUGACGGCCCUACGGGUUGUAAACUGCUUUUAUACGGGAAUAAACCCCUCUACGUGUAGAGGGCUGCAGGUACCGUAAGAAUAAGGAUCGGCUAACCCCGUUCCAGCACCCGCGGUAAUACGGAGGAUCCAAGCUGUAUCCGGAUUUAUUGGGUUUAAAGGGUCCGUAGGCGGGAUAUUAAGUCAGUGGUGAAAGGCUGUCGCUUAACGAUAGCACUGCCAUUGAUACUGGUAUUCUUGAGUAUAGUUGAGGUGGGCGGAAUAAGUCAUGUAGCGGUGAAAUGCAUAGAUAUGACUUAGAACACCAAUUGCGAAGGCAGCUCACUAAGCUAUUACUGACGCUGAGGGACGAAAGCGUGGGUAGCAAACAGG
rnacentral:rRNA from 1 species